ensembl:snoRNA predicted gene, 25460
AUAACCCUAGAAGCAUUACAAGUGUGUCUAUUGUGUCAUAUGUGCACCAGUAGGUUGCAAAGAGGAGGGUAGCUAGUCUAAUCUCAGUGUUCUGACCAGUGAAUACCUAAAUGAGUAGUAGCCUAACCUU